rnacentral:rRNA from 1 species
GUGGGGAAUAUUGGACAAUGGGGGGAACCCUGAUCCAGCCAUGCCGCGUGUGUGAAGAAGGCCUUUUGGUUGUCAAGCACUUUAAGCGAGGAGGAGGCUACCGAAAUUAAUACUCUUGGAUAGUGGACGUUACUCGCAGAAUAAGCACCGGCUAACUCUGUGCCAGCAGCCGCGGUAAUACAGAGGGUGCAAGCGUUAAUCGGAUUUACUGGGCGUAAAGCGCGCGUAGGUGGCCAAUUAAGUCAAAUGUGAAAUCCCCGAGCUUAACUUGGGAAUUGCAUUCGAUACUGGUUGGCUAGAGUAUGGGAGAGGAUGGUAGAAUUCCAGGUGUAGCGGUGAAAUGCGUAGAGAUCUGGAGGAAUACCGAUGGCGAAGGCAGCCAUCUGGCCUAAUACUGACACUGAGGUGCGAAAGCAUGGGGAGCAAACAGGAUUAGAAACCCCAGUAGUCC